AUGGGCAAGGGGAAGGCCGACGGCGUGGGUUUCCUACGCAAGGUCGUCGGCUUGCCUAGUCGGAGUGGUCGAGCACUUAAUCCUCCCUCCCAGCUACUUGACGAUGACUCCUCACAGGGAGGUCGAAGGAGAGGUGCCCCUAGAGGAGGAGGGGGUGGGGGGAGAGCCCCUAGAGGGCGAGGUGGUGGGGGGAGAGCCCCUAGAGGGCGAGGUGGUGGGGGGAGAGCCACUACAAGGGGUCGCGGCCAGAAAGAGCGCACCCUCAUCUACUUAGGGGUGUUGUCUUCGAGGCCCUCCUCUAGUGAGGUACCCUCUGGCGAGGAGGAGGAGGAGGAGGAGGAGGCAGGCGAGGAGGAGGAGGGCGAGGAGGAGGUUGGGGAGUGGGAGCCAGGCGAGGAGGAGGGUGGUGGCGGGGAGGGGGUUGGCAACAAGGGGUGGCUGCGUGGUAACGCAAAGUUACCAAAGCAGAUUCCUGCUACUAAGGACUAG
rnacentral:rRNA from 1 species